AGCAGUGGGGAAUAUUGCACAAUGGGCGCAAGCCUGAUGCUAGCCAUGCCGCGUUGUGUGAAGAAGGCCUUCGGGUUGUAAAGUCACUUUCAGUCGUGAGGAAGGUAGUGUAGUUUAAUAGCUGCAUUUAUUUGACGUUUAGCGACAGAAGAAGCACCGGCUAACUCCGUGCCAGCAGCCGCGGUAAUACGGAGGGUGCGAGCGUUAAUCGGAAUUACUGGGCGUAAAGCGCAUGCAGGUGGUUUGUUAAGUCAGAUGUGAAAAGCCCGGGGCUCAACCUCGGAAUAGCAUUUGAAACUGGCAGACUAGAGUACUGUAGAGGGGGGUAGAAUUUCAGGUGUAGCGGUGAAAUGCGUAGAGAUCUGAAGGAAUACCGGUGGCGAAGGCGGCCCCCUGGACAGAUACUGACACUCAGAUGCGAAAGCGUGGGGAGCAAACAGGAUUAGAUACCCUGGUAG
rnacentral:rRNA from 1 species